rnacentral:antisense_RNA from 1 species
CUUCAACGAGCCGAGCCACAGCGGCCGGUCGUCGGGACGGCCCUGGCCGUACGCCGCGAUCAGGGCCUGCGCCUC